ACCGUACUCCUACGGGAGGCAGCAGUGGGGAAUUUUGGACAAUGGGGGCAACCCUGAUCCAGCAAUGCCGCGUGAGUGAAGAAGGCCUACGGGUUGUAAAGCUCUUUUGUCAGGGAAGAAACGGUAGUAGCUAAUAUCUAUUACUAAUAACGGUACCUGAAGAAUAAGCACCGGCUAACUACGUGCCAGCAGCCGUGGUAAUACGUAGGGUGCAAGCGUUAAUCGGAAUUACUGGGCGUAAAGCGUGCGCAGGCGGUUGUGUAAGUCAGAUGUGAAAUCCCCGGGCUCAACCUGGGAAUUGCAUUUGAGACUGCACGGCUAGAGUGUGUCAGAGGGGGGUAGAAUUCCACGUGUAGCAGUGAAAUGCGUAGAUAUGUGGAGGAAUACCGAUGGCGAAGGCAGCCCCCCGGGAUAACACUGACGCUCAUGCACGAAAGCGUGGGGAGCAAACAGGAUUAGAUACCCCAGUAGUCCUUGAC
rnacentral:rRNA from 1 species